GGCACGAUGGCCGAGUGGUUAAGGCGACAGAUUCGAAUCAGUCGCCAUCUGUUCCGGUUUCCGGGCGCAGGUUCAAAUCCUGCUCGUGUCG